rnacentral:rRNA from 1 species
UAGGGAAUAUUCCGCAAUGGGCGAAAGCCUGACGGAGCAACGCCGCGUGAGUGAAGAAGAUCUUCGGAUUGUAAAGCUCUGUCAACAGGGACGAUAAUGACGGUACCUGUGGAGGAAGCCACGGCAAACUACGUGCCAGCAGCCGCGGUAAUACGUAGGGGGCGAGCGUUGUCCGGAAUCAUUGGGCGUAAAGGGCGUGUAGGCGGUUUUGUAAGUCAGAUGUGAAAACUUGAGGCUCAACUUCAAGCCUGCAUCUGAAACUACAUCACUUGAGGGCAGGAGAGGAAAGUGGAAUUCCAUGUGUAGCGGUGAAAUGCGUAGAUAUAUGGAAGAACACCAGUGGCGAAGGCGACUUUCUGGACUGAACCUGACGCUGAGGCGCGAAAGCCAGGGGAGCGAACG